rnacentral:rRNA from 1 species
GUGAACGCUGGCGGUAGGCCUAGCACAUGCAAGUCGAACGGCAGCACAGUAAGAGCUUGCUCUUACGGGUGGCGAGUGGCGGACGGGUGAGGAAUACAUCGGAAUCUACUUUUUCGUGGGGGAUAACGUAGGGAAACUUACGCUAAUACCGCAUACGGCCUACGGGUGAAAGCAGGGGAUCUUCGGACCUUGCGCGAUUGAAUGAGCCGAUGUCGGAUUAGCUAGUUGGCGGGGUAAAGGCCCACCAAGGCGACGAUCCGUAGCUGGUCUGAGAGGAUGAUCAGCCACACUGGAACUGAGACACGGUCCAGACUCCUACGGGAGGCAGCAGUGGGGAAUAUUGGACAAUGGGCGCAAGCCUGAUCCAGCCAUACCGCGUGGGUGAAGAAGGCCUUCGGGUUGUAAAGCCCUUUUGUUGGGAAAGAAAAGCAGCAGGUUAAUACCCCGCUGUUCUGACGGUACCCAAAGAAUAAGCACCGGCUAACUUCGUG